rnacentral:rRNA from 1 species
UAGUCUGGUGCCAGCAGCCGCGGUAAUUCCAGCUCCAAUAGCGUAUAUUAAAGUUGUUGCAGUUAAAACGCUCGUAGUCGGAUUUCGGGGCAGGUUUGCCGGUCUGCCGAUGGGUAUGCACUGGUAGAACUGUCCUUCCUUCCGGAGACGGCGCCUACUCUUAACUGAGCGGGUGUCGGAGACGGAUCGUUUACUUUGAAAAAAUCAGAGUGUUUCAAGCAGGCAGCUCGCUUUUGCAUGGAUUAGCAUGGGAUAAUGAAAUAGGACUUUGGUGCUAUUUUGUUGGUUUCGAACACCGAAGUAAUGAUUAACAGGGACAGUCAGGGGCACUCGUAUUCCGCCGAGAGAGGUGAAAUUCUUAGACCAGCGGAAGACGAACCACUGCGAAAGCAUUUGCCAGGGAUGUUUUCACUGAUCAAGAACGAAAGUUAGGGGAUCGAAGACGAUCAGAUACCGUCGUAGUCUUAACCACAAACCAUGCCGACUAGGGAUUGGAGGAUGUUCCUAUGUGACUCCUUCAGCACCUUUCGGGAAACUAAAGUCUUUGGGUUCCGGGGGGAGUAUGGUCGCAAGGCUGAAACUUAAAGGAAUUGACGGAAGGGCACCACCAGGAGUGGAGCCUGCGGCUUAAUUUGACUCAACACGGGGAAACUUACCAGGUCCAGACAUUGUGAGGAUUGACAGAUUGAGAGCUCUUUCUUGAUUCGAUGGGUGGUGGUGCAUGGCCGUUCUU